GACUGGACUUAGUGCAAGGGCAUUUCAGACAUUCAUGGAGAAAUUAAAAGAUAAGCUUAUUUGGGUCCAAAACUGUUUGAUUUUCAUGCAUAGCUUUAGCAUAAUACAUAUUUCUAUAGAAUUUUCUGAAUGAUUUAUUUAUUCAAAAGGCAAAGCAAUAGAAAAAGAUCUUUGAUCCGCUGGUUCACUCCCCAAAAGGUCACAAUAGCCAGGUUGGGCGAGGUCACGGGGGGGGGGCCGGAACUCCACCCAGGUCUCCCCAUGGUAGCGGGGCCCCUGCCCUCACGGGCGCAUUGGCAGGGAGCUGCGUGGGAAGUGGAGCAGCCAGGCCUCAGGUUGGCAGCGGUUGCCCUCUCCUUUGGCCGCACGCAGGGGUUUAUGGAGUCACCGGGUGUGCUUGGUGCAGAGCUGGCAAGGAGGCCACGGAAGGCCACGCCCCAGUGAUGUCUGUUGAGAAUUAUGGAAAACAGUUCCCUUCAGAGAAAGUGUUCGUCCUUCGCUCUGCGACUCUCGGCAGCUCAGAGCCCCUCACCCAGAAAGCUGGCCUCUGGAAAUGAGAGCACACACGUUCGUCCCUGGAACCAACGACGGGAAUCUCGCCUCCUAAUGCGCAGCUCCCCAGGAACGACAGGGCUGAGGAUUGCCAAGCAGAUCGAAGAUUUGCAUCGCUGAGACGACCCAGCGUGCAUCACCGUCGCGUCGGCUGGAUCCUUCCCAGAGGAUUUGUCAGCAAAGAGGAGACAGCAGCGCGAGGAUUCUGGGGCCGAGACGCAGGUGCCCGCCGAGUGCAGGCGAGGAUUCCCAGGCGCGCUUUGCUGAGAUGCCGACCUUUAAGGUCCUAAAAGUUCUUUUAAAUUUAUUUCUGGAAACUCAAUUUUAGCCUGUCUGUGCAACUUAGCAUUCCCCACAUGCGUGUCAGGGUUUGGGCUUCAGAUCAGACGAGACUGGGUUUAAAUACCAACCCCCUUACGGAUUAGAUGAGGGACUGGACCGGUUGUGUGAUUACUCUCCGAUUCCACUUCUUCUUUGCCAAAGCCAUUGGCAGAGGCCGACUCCCGAGGUGGAUCCAGGAGAGCAGGAGAGAGAAGGUGGGAGGCGGCCGGCAGGGAACGGAAGAAUCAGAAACCCUGAGUGGAAGAGAAGGCCACGCUCUGCUUCUAAGUGAGGGCCAGCGGUGUCCUGCCGGCUCUCCCUGACCGCACAGGACUCACGUGUGCCUCCUUCAGGCGGGCCUGGAGCUCAGCCUCGGCCGGGGGAACAGGUGCAUCUCCGGCUGCCGUGGGUGCUCCUGCCCCGAGGAUGCAGCAGCCUCGAUGCAGCCUGGCCCUCGGCGGCUCGCUCUGUGCUGGCCCGGCCGCGGGCCCCUUCCCUCCACUGCGGUGUGGCC